CUACAAUACAGAAAGGAGCAUUUAAAGACCUACUCGCACUAGAUCGCCUAGAAUUGAACAACAAUCAAAUAACUACAAUACAGAAAGGAACAUUUCAAGACCUACCAGCACUUAACACUCUGAAAUUAGGGAACAACCCCUUGGAUUGCGAUGCCUGCGAGUUGGGGAACCUCAAGUUGUAUUUACUAAACAAUACACACUUAUCGGAUGCAUCUGCGACAUGUAAUGGCACAUCAACCCUGGUAUUAGAUUUUAACUUCACCGACUG